CCAGCAGCUGCGGUAAUUCCAGCUCCAAUAGCGUAUAUUAAAGUUGCUGCAGUUAAAAAGCUCGUAGUUGGAUCUUGGGAGCGGGCGGGCGGUCUGCCACGAGGCGAGCCACCACCCAUCCCCGCCCCUUGCCUCUUGGCGCCCCCCUGAUGCUCUUAGCUGAGUGUCCUGCAGCCCGAAGCGUUUACUUUGAAAAAAUUAGAGUGUUCAAAGCAGGUCCGAGCCGCCUGGAUACCUCAGCUAGGAAUAAUGGAAUAGGACCGCGGUUCUAUUCUGUUGGUUUUCGGAACUGAGGCCAUGAUUAAGAGGGACGGGCGGGGGCAUUCGUAUUGCGCCGCUAGAGGUGAAAU
rnacentral:rRNA from 1 species